UGGGGAAUAUUGCACAAUGGGCGCAAGCCUGAUGCAGCAACGCCGCGUGAACGAUGAAGGUCUUCGGAUCGUAAAGUUCUGUUGCAGGGGAAGAUAAUGACGGUACCCUGUGAGGAAGCCCCGGCUAACUACGUGCCAGCAGCCGCGGUAAUACGUAGGGGGCUAGCGUUAUCCGGAUUUACUGGGCGUAAAGGGUGCGUAGGUGGUCUUUCAAGUCGGUGGUUAAAGGCUACGGCUCAACCGUAGUUAGCCUCCGAAACUGGAAGACUUGAGUGCAGGAGAGGAAAGUGGAAUUCCCAGUGUAGCGGUGAAAUGCGUAGAUAUUGGGAGGAACACCAGUAGCGAAAGCGGCUUUCUGGACUGCAACUGACACUGAGGCACGAAAGCGUGGGUAGCAAACAGG
rnacentral:rRNA from 1 species